rnacentral:tRNA from 1 species
GGGGUGAUGGCGCAAUGGUAAGCUUUAGAUCCUGUCACGGUACCACCAAUCAACAGUUAAUUAACCCACCUCAUCAGGUAACGCGUCUGAUUCCAGUAAUGGAGAUUCCAGAAGAUUGGGAGUUCGAUUCUCUCUCGCCUCA